UACGGAGGGUGCGAGCGUUGUCCGGAAUCACUGGGCGUAAAGGGCGCGUAGGCGGUCUGCUAAGCGUGUGGUGAAAGCUCGGGGCUCAACCCCGAGUCGGCCAUGCGAACUGGUGGACUCGAGCACUGUAGAGGCAGGUGGAAUUCCGGGUGUAGCGGUGGAAUGCGUAGAGAUCCGGAAGAACACCGGUGGCGAAGGCGGCCUGCUGGGCAGUAGCUGACGCUGAGGCGCGAUAGCGUGGGGAGCAAACAGG
rnacentral:rRNA from 1 species